rnacentral:lncRNA from 15 species
AUGAAAAAGAAAAUGUGUGAGACCGACGUAGUGAAGCCUAAAACGGCCAUACAGGCAAAGCAAACCAGGAUUAAAGAGGCAGCCAGGGACCAUGUGUUACAAAACCUGAAGACUUCCCUGUCUCAGAAGAGGGCCCUGGACACACAAGAUCACCUCUACAGUUCUGAGAACGAAUCUCCACAACGUGUUCAUGGGGGAAAGCGAGCAAGGAUUAACAAGGCAGCAAGACGUGUGCUUUUACCCCUGGCAUCCAGUCCAAGUUCUGAUGAAGCCACAUACAUAGGAAGUCCACAACGUUUCAAGACGAAGAUGAAGAGUUGGGUUUCUCCUCAGCCCAGAGAAUGGCAAGUACAUUUAUGUUGAAUAUUAUAUUAUUAUGGUAAAAUUAUAUUAUAUUGAAUGAAAAGGUCAGGCAAAGGUCAGAGAUCUUACACCCAACUGCAUGGAAAACUUAAUCUCACAAUUGUUACAUAUCUUAUUUUCACAUAUAAACUCCUUUUGGCUGUCAUGUGCAUGCCAACUAAGCAUAAUGUAUUUCAUUUACUUUUAUUUAAUAUAUUCAACAAUAUAAUCAUUUUCAAACACCUUUCAUUAAUGUUUUGUCCCACACGGUAGUGUGGAUUAGAAGAGUGUCCUUUAAACAUACUGUAUUUCCUUUGAGAAAUAAAGUAUAGAAGUCAAAAACAUGCGCAUGCAC